CCCACCUUGAUGAUAAUGGACUGAACCUCUGAAACUGAGGUGCUCCUGAAUGACUUCUGAAGGACUUUAUCUCUGCAUGUGAACAACUUCAACUUCUGCACAACUGUCACAUCCAUGCCAUAUGCUGUGAUAUUUCAAUACACACAUACUGUGUUCCGUAUUUUUUUUUUUUUUUGGUCUAUUUGUCACAAGCUAAGAUCAUCUGGGAAGAGGGAACCUCAGCUGAGAAAAUCCCUCCACCAGACUGGUCUGCAGGCAAGUCUACGAGACAUUUUCUUAACUGAUGAAGGUUGUGCGAGGGGACAGUCUAUGGGUGAUGCCACCCCUGGGCAGGUGGUCCUGGGUCGGAUGCAAAAGCAAGCUGAAGGCUGUGCACAGGUAUACAUAUCUUUAUCCCAGCAUUUAGGAGGCAGCAGCAGGCAUCUAGAGGUGAGUUUGAGACCAGCUUGGUCCAAGCCAGCCAAGCAGGCUGAGAAAGCCAAAAGCAGUGUUCUGCAUGGCUCUGCUUCAGGUCCCACCUCCACUCUCCUGUGUUGAGCUCCGGUACUAGCUUUUCCUCAUGAGGGACUAUAAGCUCUCUAUUCUGUUCAUUUUUUAAAAAAAAAUUUUUUUUGAUAGAUGCUAACAAUCUAUUCUCUAAAUACUAUCUCUGAGCUUGUUUAAUUCUAUUACAAGUAUUAUAUACUACAUCACAUUCAAAUUUCCCUCCAGCACAUAAGUCCAGGGCACCAAUGUCCUUACCACAUGAGCCAUCUUGCUGGUCCUGCUCUGUAGUUUUACAUUAACUUUUGUUUUUGUAUUGCUAGGGAUCCAUCCUAGGUGACCUACAUCACCACUGAAUGUCACCACUAGCCCUGGGGGCACAGUUUUGCUCUCCAAUUACGUAUAAAACCAUGGAGUGCCUUUGUCUCUUUUUGUGCAUGACCUUUAAAAACUUAUUUCUUUAUUUUGAGAUACAUUGUCUCAUUUAUCUUUGUAGCACUGGCCAGCCAGCCUGGAAUUUACUACUAUGUAAUCCAUAGACACCUUGAAUUUGUGGCAAGCCUCUUGUCUCUGCCUCCCAAGGGCCAGGAUUAUAAGAGUGUGGGAGCUCCCACACCCCACUGAAAGAUCUGUUUUUAUGUCAAGGUCACAUUGUUUGGGUUUUACAGUCUUGUAAUUUGUUUUGUGAUGUUUGGUGUUUGAAAGAGGGUCUUGCUUUAUAGCCUCAAACUAACCAUCCUCCUAUUUCAGCUUCUAAAUGCUCCUAUUAAAGGUAUGUCCUUGGUUGUAUGAUUUGAAACCAGGCUUGUGAUUCCCUCCCCUUUAUUUUCUUUGCUAAGGACUGGUUUAGCAUCGGGGGGUGGGGGGCUUUGUGGUGUUAUAUGAAUUUUUGGAGUUUCUUUUUUCAUAUAUAUGAAGACUAUCAUUGGUAUUUUUAUAGAAAUUACUUUUGUUUAUUUUUUUUAAACAAACCAAUUAAAAAACCAGGGUUUUGCAUUGUAGCCCUGGGUGGCUUUGAACUCAUGAGCCUCCUGUCUCAUCCAAGUACUCAGAUUACAGUGUGCAGUGCCAUGCUGGGAUUUUUGCUUAGUUUUUAAAUUAGACCAUCUGUGUCAGUUGUAGUUUUGUUGCUGUGAUAAACAUUUAAGAGAACAAUC